UACGUAGGGAGCAAGCGUUGUCCGGAAUCAUUGGGCGUAAAGAGCGCGUAGGCGGCUUGUUAAGUCUUGCGUGAAAUCCCGGGGCUCAACCCCGAGCGGUCGUGAGAAACUGGCAGGCUAGAGUGCGGGAGAGGAGAGUGGAAUUCCUGGUGUAGCGGUGAAAUGCGCAGAUAUCAGGAAGAACACCCGUGGCGAAGGCGGCUCUCUGGCACGCAACUGACGCUGAGACGCGAAAGCGUGGGGAGCAAACAGG
rnacentral:rRNA from 1 species